AUCAUCACAACUAAAACACACGAUUUAGGGGUUUCUUCUUCCUUCUUCGAUUUUUUUCCUCUCCCUCUCUCUGAUUUCAGAGCCGCCGAACCCGAAGAACCUUUCCUUUCCUCUGCGUGAAACCAUUGUUGCAGCCAUCCUUGUUCUUCUUCAGCCGUCGCGCCGUCGUCCUCGUCACGCAAGCAGGUUCAAUUCUUCUGGCUUUCUUUUUUCUUUGUUUUUUCGUUUUGUUUCUUUUCCCCCUUCGAUUCUCUGUCUGACCAUCUCUAUGUCCUCCAUCAGCAGUUCGUGCAGAUCAUCAUCCAUAUUUCUGGAGUAGGUUGCAGCUUCGCACUCCUUUUUUUUUCUCCCAUUGACGCAGCCGUCCGUGCACUCCUCCUCGUCAGUUUUCCAUUGAAGACUCUCUCUGGACUCCAAGAGCAGAGAGCUGCUUACUUGGGCUCUGGUCAAAGUGGCUGGUUUUUUUUUAAAAAAACUAACUGGUUUUGAUGAAUUGGGUAUGUGUAGAAAUUGUGGAUCAAGAUGGGAAGUCGUCACUUCUUUCCCUGUGAAAGCGUUCGACUCUGUUGUUCUUGCCAUCUAUGAAGGUUUCUGCAACUUGAAACAGGUUCAUUUCUCG
rnacentral:lncRNA from 1 species